UAAUACGGAGGGUGCAAGCGUUGUUCGGAAUCACUGGGCGUAAAGGGCGCGUAGGCGGUUUGUCAUGUCUGGUGUGAAAGUCCGGGGCUCAACCCCGGAAGUGCAUUGGAAACUGGCAGACUUGAGUUCGGGAGAGGAGGGCAGAAUUCCUGGUGUAGGGGUGAAAUCCGUAGAUAUCAGGAGGAAAAUCAGUGGCGAAGGCGGCCCUCUGGAACGUAACUGACGCUGAGGCGCGAAAGCGUGGGGAGCAAACAGGAUUAGAGACCCUGGUAGUCCACGCCGUAAACGAUGGAUGCUAGGUGUAGGGGCUAUUAACAGUCUCUGUGCCGCAGCUAACGCAAUAAGCAUCCCGCCUGGGGAGUACGGUCGCAAGACUA
rnacentral:rRNA from 1 species